GCCAGUCCGCGUGGAGCCGUCCUUGAAAUACCACCCUGGUGUCUUUGAGGUUCUAACCCAGACCCGUAAUCCGGGUCGGGGACCGUGCAUGGUAGGCAGUUUGACUGGGGCGGUCUCCUCCCAAAGCGUAACGGAGGAGCACAAAGGUACCCUCAGCACGGUCGGACAUCGUGCAACGAGCGUAAAGGUAGAAGGGUGCUUGACUGCGA
rnacentral:rRNA from 13 species